GCCGGGGUAUUAGCAGUGCCCUGUACCUGUUGCUAUAGCAGGGGUGAUGGUCUGCCCAGGGUUUUGUAUCUGAUGCUGCCCACAGUAAGUGGCGUUGACGUGCGGGUCUUGCGCAAUGGAAACCUAUGAACCGUGUCAGGUCGGGAACGAAGCAGCACUAAGUAGGAGCUUUCAUGUGCCGUAAGGGUGCCUGACUGAGUUAACUGCUGUGGUA
rnacentral:SRP_RNA from 1 species